rnacentral:lncRNA from 1 species
GGAUAAUACACCACUACGCCUCUCAUUUUCCCAGCUCCAACCACUCUCACACUCAGGGCUGCCACCUUGUCCCAGUCCCCGUGGGAGAUGGACGCACACGGAACCUGCCAGGUUGCAUCUGAUCUGCACACCUACAAGAAGCUUGGCUGUUUGGAAAACUACCAAGUGAUGCUACCUCCGACUAAAACCCUG